AAUGUUAAAGUUCUUAUUUCAUGGUAUAACUUUGGUAUGCUUGGACCUAGAGUCUUCAAACUUGACAUGAAGGUUGGCCAGGAUUAACAGAUGACCACUGGUCAUUUCAAGGUCAUUCAUUUGAAGGUCAAGGUCACUGUGAUCUUCAAUAUAAAAAAUGUUAAAGUUGUUAUAACUUUGGUAUGCUUGGACCUAGAGUCUUGAAACUUGACAUGAAGGUUGGCCAUAACUAGUUAGUAACCACUGGUCAUUUCAAGGUCAUUCAUUUGAAGGUCAAGGUCACUGUGACCUUGAAUGUAAAAAUGUUAAAGUUCUUAUUUCAUGGUAUAACUUUGGUAUGCUUGGACCUAGAGUCUUCAAACUUGACAUGAAGGUUGGCCAGGAUUAACAGAUGACCACUGGUCAUUUCAAGGUCAUUCAUUUGAAGGUGAAGGUCACUGUGACCUUCAAUAUAAAAAUGUUAAAGUUGUUAUAACUUUGGUAUGCUUGGACCUAGAGUCUUGAAACUUGACAUGAAGGUUGGCCAGAACUAGUAAGUAACCACUGGACAUUUCAAGGUCAUUCAUUUGAAGGUCAAGGUCACUGUGACCUUGAAUGUAAAAAUGUUAAAGUUGUUAUAACUUUGGUAUGCUUGGACCUAGAGUCUUGAAACUUGACAUGAAGGUUGGCCAGAACUAGUAAGUAACCACUGGACAUUUCAAGGUAAUUCAUUUGAAGGUCAAGGUCACUGUGACCUUGAAUGUAAAAAUGUUAAAGUUCUUAUUUCAUGGUAUAACUUUGGUAUGCUUGGACCUAGAGUCUUCAAACUUGACAUGAAGGUUGGCCAGGAUUAACAGAUGACCACUGGUCAUUUCAAGGUCAUUCAUUUGAAGGUCAAGGUCACUGUGACCUUCAAUAUAAAAAAUGUUAAAGUUGUUAUAACUUUGGUAUGCUUGGACCUAGAGUCUUGAAACUUGACAUGAAGGUUGGCCAUAACUAGUUAGUAACCACUGGUCAUUUCAAGGUCAUUCAUUUGAAGGUCAAGGUCACUGUGACCUUGAAUGUAAAAAUGUUAAAGUUGUUAUAACUUUGGUAUGCUUGAACCUAGAGUCUUGAAACUUGACAUGAAGGUUGGCCAGAACUAGUAAGUAACCACUGGACAUUUCAAGGUCAUUCAUUUGAAGGUCAAGGUCACUGUGACCUUGAAUGUAAAAAUGUUAAAGUUCUUAUUUCAUGUUAUAACUUUGGUAUGCUUGUACCUAGAGUCUUCAAACUUGAAAUAAAGAUUGGCCAGUACUAGAAGAUGACCACUGGUCAUUUCAAUGUCAUUCAUUUGAAGGUCAAGGUCACUGUGACCUUAAAUGUUAAAAUGUUAAAAUUGUUAUAACUUUGGUAUGCUUGGACAUAGAGUCUUCAAACUUGACAUGAAGGUUUGCAAGCACACUUAGAUGACCACUGGUCAUUUCAAGGUCAUUCAUUCUAAGGUCAAGGUCACUGUGACCUUGAAUGUAAAAAUGUUAAAGUUCUUAUAACUUUGGUAGGUAAAAAUGUUAAAGUUCUUAUUCCAUGUUAUAACUUUGGUAUGCUUGUACCUAGAGUCUUCAAACUUGACAUAAAGGUUGGCCAGUACUAGAAGAUCACCACUGCUCAUUUCAAUGUCAUUCAUUUGAAUGUCAAGUUCAUAUUUGUGACCUUAAAUGUUAUUGUUGUUCAUGUAUAUGCAUGCAUUCAAAACAUAACACAAGGUUUGCUCAUGCCUUGAAAAGUACUUACAUUUCAUUUUGACCUUUGAACAAUAUUUCAGUAAUUUAAGUAUUGCAUUGACAAAAACACGAAAGGUACUUUCCUGUCAUUUAAUUCAAAAAUCCGGCUUCAAUGCGGUCAUCUCCGACCGCGGAACUCUUGUUUAAUCAUUAAUUGAUUCGGCGU